rnacentral:rRNA from 1 species
AUUGAACGCUGGCGGCAGGCCUAACACAUGCAAGUCGCGCGGAGCUGCGGACGAGUGAGUAAUAGCUAGGACUCUGCAUGGGCGUGGGGGAUAAAGGCAGGAAACGGGCGCUGAUGCCAAAUCCUAUCAGAAGAGGAUAGGUCGGAUUAGCUAGUUGGAGGGGUAAAGGCUUACCAAGGCGACGAUCCGUAACUGGUCUGAGAGGAUGAUCAGCCACACUGGGACUGAGACACGGUCCAGACUCCUACGGGAGGCAGCAGUGGGGAAUAUUGGACAAUGGGCGAAAGCCUGAUCCAGCCAUGCCGCGUGUGUGAAGAAGGUCUUCGGAUUGUAAAGCACUGUAAGUUGGGAGGCGUUACCCACAGAAUAAGCACCGGCUAACUUCGUGCCAGCAGCCGCGGUAAUUC